rnacentral:rRNA from 1 species
AACGAACGCUGGCGGCAUGCCUAACACAUGCAAGUCGAACGAGACCUUCGGGUCUAGUGGCGCACGGGUGCGUAACGAGUGGGAACCAGCACUUAGGUUCGGAAUAACUCCCCGAAAGGGGUGCUAAUACCGGAUAAUGUAUUAGGACCAAAGAUUUAUCGCUUUAGGGUGGGGCCGCGUUGGAUUAGGUAGUUGGUAGGGUAAAAGCCUACCAAGGGGACGAUCCAUGGCUGGUCGGAGAGGAUGAUCAGGCACACUGGGACUGAGGCACGGCCCACACUCCUACGCGGGGCAGCAGUAGGGUGUAUUGGGCGAGGAGCGAAAAUCUGAUCCAGCAAUGCCGCGUGUGUCAUGAAGCCCUUAGUGUUGUAAUUCUCUUUUUCCCGGGAUGUUAAUGACAGUACCGGGUGAAUAAGCUCCGGCUAACUCCGUG